UCAGAUAUGGGUGGAAUGGUGAUGGUAAUCAUGAACACCCAUCAAAUUCAGUUAUGUCUGGCU
rnacentral:pre_miRNA from 1 species